rnacentral:lncRNA from 1 species
GUACCUUAUCAAAUGGCAUAUGAAUUACAAUUUAAAAUGAUAAAUUAUCAAAAGCCAGAUUUAAUUUGCAGCAGGCCAAGUUUACGAGCUUAUUCCAUCUUCGCCAGUGACUUACAACCUUACGACUUUUCACAGUGCGCCAGAGGGUUGCAUCCUGUUCUGUAAAUUACAUUUUGCUUGCAUAAUGGUUUUUUUAACCAAACGAUUUUAAAAAAAGACACAUACAGUUUUUUCAGAGUAAAAAAAAUGUUGCUGAACUUUCCAAAAAUAUAUGUCAUUUGAUAAGAUAUAAAUUUAUUAAAUACUGCUUUCAAAUAAUAUGAA